rnacentral:piRNA from 1 species
GUGAAGAAAACAUUAUGCCUAGA